rnacentral:misc_RNA from 1 species
GAUGAAGAAAGCAGCGAAAUGCGAUAAGUAGUGUGAAUUGCAGAAUUCAGUGAAUCAUCGAAUCUUUGAACGCACAUUGCGCCCCUUGGUAUUCCAUGGGGCAUGCCUGUUCGAGCGUCAUUUGUACCUUCAAGCUUUGCUUGGUGUUGGGUGUUUGUCUCGCCUUUGCGUGUAGACUCGCCUUAAAAUAAUUGGCAGCCGGCGUAUUGAUUUCGGAGCGCAGUACAUCUCGCGCUUUGCACUCAUAACGACAGCGUCCAAAAGUACAUUUUACACUCUUGACCUCGGAUCAGGUAGGGAUACCCGCUGAACUUAAGCAUAUCAAUAAGCGGAGGA